AUGUCGCGAAAGGAAUACUCAUGGUUGAAGACUGACUAUGCUCCCUCGAGUACUACGCAGCAACAAACUCAGGAUAACUCAGUCGAGAACUUUAAAAGAGCAAACAAGAUUCUGGCUUCGGAGUCUGAGCCGGUUCAAAUAUGGGAUUUCUCUGCGCGAACAACCUUCAUAUGGAUGAAUGAAUGGAACCGUAUGCCCCAAGAUCCUCGGUCUAAGAUCCUCGGCCUUCUGACCAGGAGGCAACAGGUGAGGAUGGUGGCAGGAGGAUGUACCUGCGGCGUGAGGAGAUGGGUGCAGGAACAGCCGGCGCGCGGAGGUGGCUGGUUCCGACGGCCUCAGGUGAGGAUGGUGGCAGGAGGAUGUACCUGCGGCGUGAAGAGAUGGGUGCAGGAACAGACGGCCUUGGUGAGCAACACCAUGAGAGGAGAUGGGUGCAGGAACAGACGGCCUUGGUGA
rnacentral:rRNA from 1 species